rnacentral:misc_RNA from 1 species
UCUGCCUUAUCGGCAAGCGGUCCCGUUAGAGUGCCCAACUUAAUGCUGGCAACUAACGGCGAGGGUUGCGCUCGUUGCGGGACUUAACCCAACAUCUCACGACACGAGCUGACGACAGCCAUGCAGCACCUGUCUCCACGUCCCCGAAGGGAACUCCUAGUUUCCUAGGAUAGCAUGGGAUGUCAAGCCCAGGAUAAGGUUCUUCGCGUUGCGUCGAAUUAAACCACAUACUCCACCGCUUGUGCGGGCCCCCGUCAAUUUCUUUGAGUUUUAAUCUUGCGACCGUACUCCCCAGGCGGGAUACUUAAUGCGUUAGCUACGGCACCGGAAGGGAAAGUCCCUCCGACACCUAGUAUCCAUCGUUUACGGCGUGGACUAC